UACAGAGGGUGCAAGCGUUAAUCGGAAUUACUGGGCGUAAAGCGCGCGUAGGUGGUUCGUUAAGUUGGAUGUGAAAGCCCCGGGCUCAACCUGGGAACUGCAUCCAAAACUGGCGAGCUAGAGUAUGGUAGAGGGUGGUGGAAUUUCCUGUGUAGCGGUGAAAUGCGUAGAUAUAGGGAGGAACACCAGUGGCGAAGGCGACCACCUGGACUGAUACUGACACUGAGGUGCGAAAGCGUGGGGAGCAAACAGG
rnacentral:rRNA from 1 species